rnacentral:rRNA from 1 species
GACGAACGCUGGCGGCGUGCCUAAUACAUGCAAGUAGAACGCUGAAGGAGGAGCUUGCUUCUCCGGAUGAGUUGCGAACGGGUGAGUAACGCGUAGGUAACCUGCCUGGUAGCGGGGGAUAACUAUUGGAAACGAUAGCUAAUACCGCAUAAGAGUAGAUGUCGCAUGACAUUUGCUUAAAAGGUGCAACUGCACCACUACCAGAUGGACCUGCGUUGUAUUAGCUAGUUGGUGAGGUAACGGCUCACCAAGGCAACGAUACAUAGCCGACCUGAGAGGGUGAUCGGCCACACUGGGACUGAGACACGGCCCAGACUCCUACGGGAGGCAGCAGUAGGGAAUCUUCGGCAAUGGACGGAAGUCUGACCGAGCAACGCCGCGUGAGUGAAGAAGGUUUUCGGAUCGUAAAGCUCUGUUGUAAGAGAAGAACGAGUGUGAGAGUGCAAAGUUCACACUGUGACGGUAUCUUACCAGAAAGGGACGGCUAACUACGUG